rnacentral:lncRNA from 1 species
UUGACAAUCCCCCUAGUCCUUGUACCGUCUCCAGCUCGUAACCGGUAGCUUAGUUGCCUGACCGAGCCCACCGGCGGGAGCCCUAUGUCGGCAGCGGGAAUCUGGCACCAACCCAGUUGAGCCUGGCCAGCAAUGAGUCGUUUAGUGAAUAAUUGGAGAUAUAUACAAGAAUAUCGAUUGGCAAAGAAGAUGUUAUCUAUCGGAACAUGAAACUUGUCACCCCAAGUAGGGUUGAUACCACCUUGAUCAUCAACCCUCGUUUGGAACAUGUGGCGGGGCCUCUUAUGAUCAGUAGCGUCGCAUGGGUGGUGUGGCGGGAAGGUGGUGAUGGUGACGAAGGGCCUGAGACGGUGGGAGAAUAGAGAAGAGGUGUUCUUCAGCCCUUGUGCUGACACCACUGUCAUCUCCAAAGUGAACUUCUGUUGACUGCAAUCCAACAUAAUGGAUUUUUUUUUUUUGUGUGUUUCAAUGGGAAAAAGAGAGGAAACCAAAGGAAAUGAGAUAGAAGAACUUGUUUGGGGUUUGAAUUUAUAGUAUCAAAAUGAAGGAUAUUUCUAAUGAAGCCGCAUGCAGGAAAUUGAGAGGAGAGACUGAGAGUGUAGCUUCGUGGUAGAAUAAAUGAGAGUGAGAUUUAAAAAGAGGGUACCGAGAAAUUUAAACGCUGAAUGUUUCUUUGAUGUUGUGGCUUAGAUUUAUCAUCUAAGUCAACCAAAAGUCCCCACUCCAACUCAAUGCCUUUUCUGGUGAAGAGGCACGAACGAGUAGGAUAGAGAAAAAAAAUCGAAAAAUUAAAAAUUAAUUUGAAAUUAUAAUAUUUAAUUUGAUUUAAAUUUAAUUUUUUUAUUUAAUUUUAAAUAUUAAAUAUAUAUUAAAUUUAAAUACAAUUUUAAAUCAAGAUAAAUCAAAUCGAUUAAAAAAAUAAUUUUUUCUUGAAUUAAAAUUUAAAAAUUUACAAUAUUAUUUAUAUUAUCCAUAAAUAUUUAUAUUAAAUCGAUCCAAUCUCAAACUAAUAUUAUCCUUUAAAAAAAACUAAAAAAAUAAAUUAUUCAAUUUUUUAAAUUAAAAUAAAAUAUAUAAUAUCUAAUAAUUUAAAAUAAAUAAUUAUAAAUUAUUAAUUUAAAAUAAUCCCAAUAAUCACUCAUAACGCCACUAUCCUACGAAAAAUAAUUUCUCUUUCUUUGCUUUUAUAUUCAUUUGAGCUUCGGGAGUAGGUUCCACUGCCACAUGACAUGAUAACAAGUAGCAUAAUAUAUACUUUGAUAAGAGGAUAACGAUGAAGAGAUAAUUAUGAAAGAAAUGUUAUUCUUUUCUCAUUUUUUUUCUUUUGGCAUUCUAGUUUUCUUUCACAGCAUUUCGAUUCAUUUUAUUAAAUAAAUAAACCCAAUAACGUUUCCAAGGUCUUAUUCAUUAAUCCUGCAGAUAAGAAUGCGUGGGUUUUUCGUCUGACAACGAUGGUGUGAACGUGGCAGAUAAACUUUUGUUUUCUGGCCAUGCCGACGCAUGAAACUUUUAAGUUUCCAGGAUUUUCCAUCACAAAGACAAAGGCAAUCAAUUUAUGGCGAAGUUUUCAAGUCAUCUUUCCCUCCUGUACGUCUGUCAGGUGUCUAGUUUCCGACAUUUUCUGUUAAAUUUCCAAAUUAAUAACUACAUCAUCAAGAACUUUCUCUUCAAUUUUAUUCAUUUAGAUGUUGGAUUAAUUAAAUAUAUUAUCGGCUUGCUGAUGUUCAUAUAUAAACUUUUACAGGUCGCCGCUAAAGUAUUUGAAGGGAUACAGGAAAUGAACAAAGUAAUAUCCCCUACUUUACUAAGUCAAAACAGACAAAGAAGGAGAAGGAGAGGAGGUUCUGCUCAUUUUCCCAUCACAUUCGCAAAAGGAUCAGUCAAUUGCAUGUGUUUUUCACACUUUUCCUGCAAGUAGUCUUCCUCCUUUCUUUAUAAUAUGAAUUGACAGCAAUUAUAAUUAAGAUUAAAUUAAAAUAUACAUAUCUAGAUAAUGGAAUCCAAUGUCUAAAAUAUUAUUAAUUCAUAUAAUCAUAUCAUAAUAUUAAAUAAAUUUUAACGUAUUAAUAAUUUUUUAUCUCUAAAAUACGAUUUUUUUUUUUUACAAAAAAUUAGGAAUUAAGAGGCAAUUAAAUAAAUAAAGACUAAAGCAAAAGAAAAUAGAAGAAUAUGCUUCUUUUCCUUGUAUUUUCUCCUUCAUUUAACCUUUUAAAAGCAGUUUAUAUGGAAAAAAUUUUUUAAUGAGAGUUUUAUUUAGACGUCACAACUGUAACAUGCAUGGAACUUUACAUUUGGAUGCAUUGAAUGUAAAUAAAUCAAACAGGAAAAGGAAAAAAAAAUCAGAUAAAAAAAAGACAAAAAAUUAAGAAACAAAUGCUUGUGCAAUAAUUUGAUGUUGUUGUUUUUCAAUUUUCACAGCUAAUAAUGUUAAUUUGGAACAGAACAUAAAAGGCCAAAAAAAAAAAAGUUAAACCAAUUACCAUCAAAUGAUUACCUUAUAACACUAUAAAAGAAAAAGAAAAUUAAAGAUGAUAUGUAUAGUUUCGUCAUCCAAUCACUUGAACAACAUGUAAUUUUAUAUAGAAUUAAGAAAUCACACUGUCAAUGUAUAAAAAUGAAUUUAUAAAUGAAUUCAUGAAUUUACUUCUUUCUACCAAAUAAUAGUUAAUUUUGGAAUAUGAUAAGAUUGAUCUUGAUAGAAAUAAAAUGGAUAUCGUUGACAUGACAUAUAAAUUAUGUGCUUAGACUUGGGACAACCUUUAGGGGACCGCAAGUAAAUGUCAUGAACACUAACAUUAGUUUUCACUAUGAAAUUAUUUGGUAAAGAGAAAUUUUCAACACCAAAUUGAUCUUCGUAGAAAUACAAUGGAUAUUGUUGGCAGGCACUUUCUAUACGCAAUUGUAUUUUAUUCAUGGACCAUGCCAACCCUUAAUAUCCUAUAAAAUAAAACUUUUUUUUUCUUUUCAAGACAAAAUGAUUGUAGUAAAAAAGAAAUUUAAACCUGAAAAUCUCUUUCUAGAAGCAUGGGUUUGUCAAUUUCAUAAUUUAAAGAUGAAUAGAGUUAUACUGUUUAAAUUUAAAGUUGCAACAUGUUUGAAAAUAUUUCAAAGAGAUGAUAACUAGAUAUGGUAAUUUAUAUCAAAAUUUUAAAUCAUAUUAUUUUAUAUAUUGUUUUUACUUAUAUUUAAAAUUAUUAGAUCUAAUAAUUAAGUGACCAAUUCAAAUAAUGUACCCAAACAACAAUGAGACCUAUUAAGAAAUAGAAAAAAGUUGUACAAUUAAAGAAUUUUUUUUUAAGACUAUAAUGACUUAAAGCCAUUUGUCAUUGUAAAUGACAACACAUUGUUAGCAGCCAUGACUAAGUUUAAUGAAAUUGUGUUACACUGCCACUCUAAAAGUCAAGAACAAUGCUUAAAUUUAAUGCACAGAUUGUCACAGAUUACCGUCAGAUACCAGCAAAAACCAGAAUUUCAUGGAAACUUUUUAAAGUGCUGUUUUUAGUCAAGAAAGUCGGCUGAAAAUUAUAUAUCUUAUCGAUGCAGCAGCGACCAAACUAAAAAAAUAAAUAAAUUCCAGAGGUCAGAAGCAGUGGGGGUUCUAGCCAGGCAACUAGUUGACAGUUUAAAUUUUCCACAAACGAGAUACAAAUAAUCAAUCCACUAUUUGGCCAUAAAAAAAAAAAAGAAAAAACCCACCAUUGCAUAGAAGCCUAAAUGGUUCGACUUUAUCUUUAAUUUUAAUAGAACAUGAUGAUUUGGGAAAGCCGCAGGAAAGGGCAGCCACACAUUUUUAAGGCUUUUAUUGUCGUCUUAGGCCACUAGUAGUUCAUCAGACCUUAUCUUUCUGUUUCUCCUUUUGUAGGUAUGAAGGUAUGGGCUCCUACAAAAUUGAGGUCCUCUCAUUUCUGACAAUUCCCACUUUUAUUGAGAUAACAAUGAACCGAGACCUUGAUGCCGUGUGGGGAGUUUCUUUCCCCCUUUUUUUUUCUGGAUCAAUAUUAAUGAAUUCACUUCAAUGAUUUUUUACCUCAAUUGGCUCUCUUAAAUUCCGUUAUUUUGUGAAGAUUAAUUUUUUGAAAAAUAUUUAUUUUUUUGAAAAAUUAAAGAUUUUUUUAUUAUUUAAAUGAGUCAAUAAAAAAUAGUUUUAAUUGUUUUUCAGAUACUUUGCUUUUAAAUAAUAUUGACAUAAUUAUUAAAAUAUUAAAAUUAUUUAUGAUUGAAAUAUAUUAAAGUUAUUAAUAUUCAAAAGUUUAUAUUUUAAUAAUAAUAUUUAAUAUUAAAAUAUUAUAUUAAUAUAAAAAUGCUUAAAACAAAACUCUUUUAAUAUUUAUAUUAAUAUUUUAAAAUAUUCAAAACAGUAUUGUUAUACUUAAAAUAUUGUUUUAUUAAUAUAAUAAUAAAAUAUUAACAUUUAUUAUUAAAUAUUAAAAUAAUUAUAUUAUUAAAAUAAUUAUGUUUUAUAAUUAAAAAUAUCCAUUAUUAAAUCAUUACAAAAUUAUUUUUUAUUUUAUUUAUUAUUAAAAUAAUAAUAUAAAUACAUUAAUAAAUAAAAUAUGCAACUAAUAUUUUAAAUUGAAUAAUAAUAAAUUAUUAAAAUAUUCAUUUUAAGAAAUAAUAAUAUAUUAUAUUAUUUAAUAUUAAUUAUUAAAAUAUAAAAUUAUUACUUAAUAUACUAUUUUUAUUGUUAAAUUUAAUAGCGUGUUACAAUAAUAAAUACGAUUUCUCUAGAAAUCCAGCACCAGAGUCAAGUCCGCUCCCAUCGGGCUCAUUAUUGUUAGCAGACUGGAUCACUAGGCUUUUUUUGGGCCUAGACAAUCUAAUUCAAAUAAAAAACAAUGUACGUAAACCUAGUACUAUAAUAUUUCACCAUAUACCACCACUUUUGGAAAGUAUGCGAGUGACCGAGAGAACCGGCGGCGAUUCGCAAGCUUGGUCGGCCGGCGAUAAGGAAAUCGGGUUCGGUCCUAGAUCCGAACCCUACAAAACAGGAAUUCUCCAGACAGAGAUAUUCCUGUGGCGUGCACUUAGCUCUUUAACUGGUGAUUGCUUAAACUCCAAUUAGAUCAAAUGAAUAAAAAAUUAGAAAAAAAAAAAUCAGCACAUAACAUCGAUCCGUUUGGUAGCCGAGAAAAUGCAAGAAAAGAAAAUAAAUAAAUUAACAAAGAAAUAUCAUCGAUGUUUCUAGGUGAAAAUAUCUAGUUUAGUCGGCCAAAUUCAACUACAAAACUUAUUUAUAUAUCCUAUUUCAGAUACAUAAAAACGUAAACAGUUUCAAUAUAGUAUUAACAGUUUCUUGCUAUUGUGAUCUUUUUGACCUAAUCGAUAAACAAAAGUUGUAAUAUUAAUUCGUUUCUUUCAUCAAUCAUGGAGAAAACACUAAAAAUCAAAAUAUUCAAAUCUUAUAGAGAGAAUAAGAGGAUAUAAGAGUAUAAAAAUAAAUUUUCGUACCUGAAAUAAAGCGAGAAUUUUCUCACCAACCAAACAAGUAGCAAAAAACCUGGCUCAUGCGAUCAGACACCGUUGAAUCAAAGGUUUCAACACCGUAAACAGAGUGAAAGUAGGCACGUUGAGUGAGAGAGAGGGAGAAAGAGAGCGGAGUUUAGGUUUUGUUGCUUCUAGAAGGUUCUGGGUGGAGUAAAUCGUACGGGACGAAAGAGAAAUCGCGAGGGUGAGAAGGAAAGAGAUAUAAAAUAUUAAAUUUAAAAAAAAAUAGAGAAAAUGGCGAAGUACGUGGAAUGCACGCGCACAUACGUAAACAAAAGAAAAUGAUAAAAUUGAUAAAGGUAUU